UACGGAGGGUGCGAGCGUUGUCCGGAAUCACUGGGCGUAAAGGGUGCGUAGGCGGGGUCUUUAAGUCAGGGGUGAAAUCCUGGAGCUCAAACUCCCAGAACUGGCCUUUGAUACUGAGGAUCUUGAGGUUCGGGAGAGGUGGAGUGGAACUGCGAGUGUAGAGGUGAAAUUCGUAGAUAUUCGCAAAGAACACCAGUGGCGAAGGCGGCUCACUGGCCCGAUACUGACGCUGAGGCACGAAAGCGUGGGGAGCAAACAGG
rnacentral:rRNA from 1 species